rnacentral:rRNA from 1 species
UACGUAGGUCCCGAGCGUUGUCCGGAUUUAUUGGGCGUAAAGCGAGCGCAGGUGGUUUAUUAAGUCUGGUGUAAAAGGCAGUGGCUCAACCAUUGUAUGCAUUGGAAACUGGUAGACUUGAGCGCAGGAGAGGAGAGUGGAAUUCCAUGUGUAGCGGUGAAAUGCGUAGAUAUAUGGAGGAACACCGGUGGCGAAAGCGGCUCUCUGGCCUGUAACUGACACUGAGGCUCGAAAGCGUGGAGAGCAAACAGG